UACAGAGGUCCCGAGCGUUGUUCGGAUUCACUGGGCGUAAAGGGUGCGUAGGUGGCGGGGUAAGUUUGAUGUGAAAUCUAUGGGCUCAACUCAUAGUCUGCAUCGGAAACUGCCGGGCUUGAGUAUGGGAGAGGUGAGUGGAAUUCCUGGUGUAGCGGUGAAAUGCGUAGAUAUCAGGAGGAACACCUGUGGCGAAAGCGGCUCACUGGACCAUAACUGACGCUGAUGCACGAAAGCUAGGGGAGCAAACAGG
rnacentral:rRNA from 1 species